UAAAAUUCUGCGAAGAGAAAAGUAGGUUCGAAAAACAUUUAGAGAGAUCUUGGUUGGUGAAAAAGAUCUGUUGGAAGAAUUGAAAAUGGUCUCUGAGAAAAAUUGUUGAUAGGUAAACAGUUUCGGGUGAUGUCUACUCGUUAAAAAAAGGCACCGAUAGUAUGUUUUGUCGGCAUAAGAGAAGGAAACUUCUAAAAAAAGGUGGUACCACGAUUAUUCGUCCUUUUA
rnacentral:ncRNA from 1 species